rnacentral:lncRNA from 1 species
UCGGGGAUCUUUCCAUCCCUUCUUUUUAAUGGAGAUUUUCUUUCUUUUCGCCUACCUAUGAAGCUCUCGAGCCUCCUCUACCUGAUCAUACUUUUGAGCUCAGACUAGCAGAUUGGCAUAGUCCUUCAAAAAUUUUUUAUUAAGGAAGAAGGUGAGGCACUCAUUCCGUAAGCUUCACUUGAGCACUGACAUGGCCACCAACUGAUCGAGGUCUUGCACCUCAAGUGUGGC